AUUGAACGCUAGCGGGAUGCCUUACACAUGCAAGUCGAACGGAGUGGCGAACGGGUGAGUAAUGUAUCGGAACGUGCCCAGUAGCGGGGGAUAACUACGCGAAAGCGUAGCUAAUACCGCAUACUCUUGGAGCGGCCGAUAUCGGAUUAGCUAGGUGGUGGGGUACCGGCUCACCACGGCCACGAUCCGUAGCUGGUUUUAGAGGACGAUCAGCCACACUGGGACUGAGACACGGCCCAGACUCCUACGGGAGGCAGCAGUGGGGAAUUUUGGACAAUGGGGGAAACCCUGAUCCAGCCAUCCCGCGUGUAGGAUGAAGGCCUUCGGGUUGUAAAGCACUUUUGGCAGGAAGGCGGUAACCGCAGAAGAAGCACCGGCUAACUACGUGCCAGAAGCCGCGGUAAUAC
rnacentral:rRNA from 1 species